AGUUGGGCGUCUUCUCCAAACACCUUUCUUUCUUAUUUUUUUUUUAAGUUAUUUGCCACUGUACUCCCAAGGAUUCAAUCAGUUUUUUUACUUUGCUUCUUCACAGUGUUUUCUUUACAAAAAAAACUGAAGUGAGAAAAUGACCGCCUGGUGGAGAAUAAAGCAUCACAAUGGCAGCACAAAAGAGUUGCUCCUGGAAUCAAGGCCCUGGGGUCAUGUUACAGCAUCUGCUGCUUUCUCGCCACAUGACAGUGAUCGAAUCAUUGUAUCUGUCUGACUCUACAAAGUGGGCAUGCUUCUGUGACUUGUAAUGGUAGAAGUACAGACUCCGGGAUGUGAAGGGCUAGAGUCCUCUGGUGGUGCUCUGGUCUCUCAGGUCUUUUCUAAGUUCUUCUAACUUAAUCGGAGGUGAUACUCAUAUAGUGCCAGCACUGGACCUGCUUACUAGAACACACUCAAUUACUUCAUGAGCGGAGUUAGUUCAGUUCAUACCAUACCCUUGGGGGUGGGGGGAAGCCUAUUUAUUUUACCUCAUACACAAUUUUUUAUUGUUAAAGGUGUUUAAAUUAAUUGUACCCUUUGUUCCCUGUUGAAAAACAGAACUCAGAUGUAAGUGGUGAUCAAGUAAUUAUAGUUCCAUCAUGCGGGUGUUGUAGGGAAGAAUGAACAGCAAAGGCCUACCUGAGGAUUAAGUUGUACGAUUAAAGGUUAAUACUUUCUCAACACAAACAUACGGGUCUCUCCUUCAUCCUGUAACUCUUACAGUUAAUUUUGGUAACUUGAGACACACACAAAGCACUAAAGCCGACUAGGUCUUCAUUGAUUGCAUGUUCCUUAGAAAAGAUGAAGUGUAGGGAAAAUUAUUCUUAGUACUACUGAUACAAAUCAAACUAUUAGGUGCCUUUCAGCAUAGUGCAUAUGGUAUCUGAACCUUUGUCACCUAUGAAAUUUUUGUCCAAAUCACUUCGCAGUUGCCGUGUUUUAAAGGAACCCCUCAAAAUCCCCCGCUGGUAAGUUCUCCUUUCCCUGUUUUACUGGUUUUGAACCUCAUACCGUUUUACUGAAUAAACAUUUUCUCCCAACUC
rnacentral:lncRNA from 1 species